ACAGACGCCCCCUCCUGUCUCCCCCGGUUCUCAUCUCUUCUAUUGCCCUGCAUAGGAAUCGUACAUUUAACUGCUCUAGACCCAAGGUCUUCUUACAUCAACCCCUUAACUGCUGUGGACUGCCAGGAAUACUUUAACCCUCUCACUGCCCUAGACCACCAGGUACAUUGACACUGACUUCUUCAGUACCCUUGACCACCAGAGAUACAGUAAUUAAACUCUGACUGUACUAGACCACCAGAGAUAUUAACAUUAACCCUUUCACUGCCCUAGACUACUAGGAAUAUUGGAAAAUCACCAUAACUAUUAGGCCACCCUAAACCACCAGGAAUAUAACCAUCAACCCCUAAGCCACCCUAGACCACCAGGAAUAUAAUAGUCAACCCUUGUCACCCUAGACCACCAGGAAUAUAAUCAUCAACCCCUAAGCCACCCUAGACCACCAGGAAUAUAAUCAUCAACCCCUAAGCCACCCUAGACCACCAGGAAUAUAAUCAUCCACCCUAAACCACCAGGAAUAUAACCAUCAACCCCUAAGCCACCCUAGACCACCAGGAAUAUAAUAGUCAACCCUUGUCACCCUUCACCACCAGGAAUAUAAUCAUCCACCCCUAAGCCACCCUAGACCACCAGAAAUAUAGUCAUCCACCCCUAAGCCACCCUAGACCACCAGGAACAUGUUAGUGUUAACCCAGGACUGCCAUUCCGUGUAUUCAGCCCAUUUACAUCGAUCCAUCUAUGCAGAACAGCUCCUCAGUCUUUCCCGUCUAUAUAACAACAACAACAACAAAAAGACCACUGAUUUUUGGAUGUUAAUGUGCCAAUCUAGGGAAUUACACAGACCCCCUGCUACGAGGACGACGACCCUUUCUUAGCCAAGAUACAAAACAAACUUUUUAGAAACUUUUCUCCAUUCAGGCGGUGAAUGAAAUCGUCGCUUCUGUUUAAAAAAAAAA